GAACUGGAAUGCCUGUAUAUAAAGAAGAAGAAGAAAUUGGAGGCAAAAUGAAUUAAAGUUGCCAAAUGUGAGCCAGGAUCCUUAAUGCACUUUCAGAAUUGGUCUCUUUAGGGACAAUGGGAUGAAUAUAUUGUCUGGGGCGAUAGAUAGAAUUGGACCUUCUGCCCCACACAGAGGCCAAUCAGCGUGGCAGCUGAAUAUUCUUUUAACCUUGAAGAUGGAGGCAAUUUUUAUUUCUAUCAAGUGGCAUACCCAACUUAGCUUUAUUUAUUACAAAUAAAUAUAUGAUCCUAUGCCACACCAGAGGCCGAUUUAUAGGUCACAAAACUUACAGAACAAUGUCCUUCAGUAAUUUGCAGUGGCUGCUUCCUGUAUGUUAUCAUGCUCUGUGUUGGCUAUAUUCGUUCAUUCCAGCUAAGAAGAGGACUCCCCUGCUGUAAGGGAAAAUUAUGGUGCAAUCAGCGUGACAGAAUAGAAUUGAGCAUUUAUUGGUUGGACGCCCUUCCUGACACCUAUGCAGAGUUCGCUUUGCACUGAGAAAUAUCUGCCGCCACCUGGAAUCAAACUCACAACUUCCUGAUUGUGAGGGGAUAUGGUGGCCUAGCAGUUAAAAUGCUAGGCUGUCAACCAGAUGGGCAGUUCAAGACCGGAAUACUGCAUGAUGGACUGAGCUUCCAUUCAUUCUCUAGUUGCUACCAACUAAGCAGCUUGAAAGCAGGCAAACGCAAGUAGAUAAAUAGGUACCACUUUUAUGGAAGGGUUAGG